rnacentral:misc_RNA from 1 species
AGCAGCCGCGGUAAUUCCAGCUCCAAUAGCGUAUAUUAAAGUUGUUGCAGUUAAAAAGCUCGUAGUUGAAUUUCGGGAUUGGCGCAUCGGUCGUGCCUCACGGGGUAUGAACUGGUGCAGUCAAUUUCCCACCUUCUGGAGAACCGCGAUGUCCUUAAUUGGAUGCCGCGGGGAACCAGGACCUUUACUUUGAAAAAAUUAGAGUGUUUAAAGCAGGCAUUUUUGCUUGAAUACAUUAGCAUGGAAUAAUAAAAUAGGACGGCAUGGUUCUAUUUUGUUGGUUUCUAGGACCACCGUAAUGAUUAAUAGGGAUAGUUGGGGGCAUUAGUAUUCAAUUGUCAGAGGUGAAAUUCUUGGAUUUAUUGAAGACUAACUACUGCGAAAGCAUUUGCCAAGGAUGUUUUCAUUAAUCAAGAACGAAAGUUAGGGGAUCGAAGACGAUCAGAUACCGUCGUAGUCUUAACCAUAAACUAUGCCGACUAGGAAUCAGACGAUGUUAAUUUUUAAUGUACUCGUUUGG